CCCUUAGAUGUUCUGGGCAGCACGCGCGCUACACUGAUGCAUUCAACGAGUUUCUUCCUGGUCCGAGAGGAAUGGGUAACCUUUUGAAAGUGCAUCGUGAUAGGGAUAGACUAUUGCAAUUAUUGGUCUUCAACGAGGAAUUCCUAGUAGACGUAGUUCAUCAGACUGCAUCGAUUACGUCCCUGCCCUUUGUACACACCGCCCGUCGCUCCUACCGAUUGAAUGCUCAGGUGAGCCAUUCGGACUUUCAUCAUGCUGGUUUCCAGUUUUGAUGAAGGAAAGUCUUGCGAACCUUAUCAUUUAGAGGAAGGAGAAGUCGUAACA
rnacentral:rRNA from 1 species